AGAACGAACGCUGGCGGCAGGCUUAACACAUGCAAGUCGAACGAACGUAGCAAUACGUUAGUGGCGCACGGGUGAGUAACGCGUGGAUAUCUGCCUUUUGGUUCGGGAUAACCUUGGGAAACUAGGGCUAAUACCGAAUGGUUCCUACGGGAUAAAGAUUUAUCGCCAAAAGAUGAGUCCGCGUCCGAUUAGCUAGUUGGUGGGGUAAUGGCCCACCAAGGCGACGAUCGGUAGCUGGUCUGAGAGGACGAUCAGCCACACUGGGACUGAGACACGGCCCAGACUCCUACGGGAGGCAGCAGUGGGGGAAUAUUGGACAAUGGGGGCAACCCUGAUCCAGCCAUGCCGCGUGAGUGAUGAAGGCCUUCGGGUUGUAAAGCUCUUUUGGCGGGACGAUGAUGACGGUACCGCAGAAUAAGCCCGGCUAACUUCGUGCCAGCAGCCGC
rnacentral:rRNA from 1 species